rnacentral:rRNA from 1 species
CGCGUAGGCGGUUCGAUAAGUCAGAUGUGAAAGCCCGGGGCUUAACCCCGGAAGUGCAUUUGAAACUGUCGAACUUGAGUAUGGGAGAGGGAAGUGGAAUUCCUGGUGUAGAGGUGAAAUUCGUAGAUAUCAGGAGGAACACCGGUGGCGAAGGCGACUUCCUGGACCAAUACUGACGCUGAGGCGCGAAGGCGUGGGUAGCAAACAG